UGGGAGGCAGAUGCGCGGGGG
rnacentral:misc_RNA from 1 species